GCCCUUGUAGCUCAACUGGCAGAGCACUUGAUUUGUAAUCAAGGGGUUGUAGGUUCGAUUCCUAUCAGGGGCUCA
rnacentral:tRNA from 1 species